GACAGAGGGUGCGAACGUUGUUCGGAAUUACUGGGCGUAAAGCGCAUGUAGGCGGCAGCGCAAGUCGGGCGUGAAAUCCCACGGCUCAACCGUGGAAGUGCACUCGAAACUGCGCAGCUAGAGUCCUGGAGAGGAAGGUGGAAUGCUUGGUGUAGAGGUGAAAUUCGUAGAUAUCAAGCGGAACACCGGUGGCGAAGGCGGCCUCUGG
rnacentral:rRNA from 1 species